rnacentral:rRNA from 1 species
AUCCUGGCUCAGGAUGAACGCUGGCGGCGUGCCUAACACAUGCAAGUCGAGCGAUUUACUUCGGUAAAGAGCGGCGGACGGGUGAGUAACGCGUGGGUAACCUGCCCUGUACACACGGAUAACAUACCGAAAGGUAUGCUAAUACAAGAUAAUAUGCUUUUAUCGCAUGGUAGAAGUAUCAAAGUUUUUGCGGUACAGGAUGGACCCGCGUCUGAUUAGCUAGUUGGUAAGGUAACGGCUUACCAAGGCGACGAUCAGUAGCCGACCUGAGAGGGUGAUCGGCCACAUUGGAACUGAGACACGGUCCAAACUCCUACGGGAGGCAGCAGUGGGGAAUAUUGCACAAUGGGCGAAAGCCUGAUGCAGCAACGCCGCGUGAGCGAUGAAGGCCUUCGGGUCGUAAAGCUCUGUCCUCAAGGAAGAUAAUGACGGUACUUGAGGAGGAAGCCCCGGCUAACUACGUGCCAGCAGCCGCGGUAAUACGUAGGGGGCUAGCGUUAUCCGGAAUUACUGGGCGUAAAGGGUGCGUAGGUGGUUUCUUAAGUCAGAGGUGAAAGGCUACGGCUUAACCGUAGUAAGCCUUUGAAACUGGGAAACUUGAGUGCAGGAGAGGAGAGUGGAAUUCCUAGUGUAGCGGUGAAAUGCGUAGAUAUUAGGAGGAACACCAGUUGCGAAGGCGGCUCUCUGGACUGUAACUGACACUGAGGCACGAAAGCGUGGGGAGCAAACAGGAUUAGAUACCCUGGUAGUCCACGCCGUAAACGAUGAGUACUAGCUGUCGGAGGUUACCCCCUUCGGUGGCGCAGCUAACGCAUUAAGUACUCCGCCUGGGAAGUACGCUCGCAAGAGUGAAACUCAAAGGAAUUGAUGGGGACCCGCACAAGUAGCGGAGCAUGUGGUUUAAUUCGAAGCAACGCGAAGAACCUUACCUAAGCUUGACAUCCUUUUGACCGAUGCCUAAUCGCAUCUUUCCCUUCGUGGACAGAAGUGACAGGUGGUGCAUGGUUGUCGUCAGCUCGUGUCGUGAGAUGUUGGGUUAAGUCCCGCAACGAGCGCAACCCUUGCCUUUAGUUGCCAGCAUUAAGUUGGGCACUCUAGAGGGACUGCCAGGGAUAACCUGGAGGAAGGUGGGAUGACGUCAAAUCAUCAUGCCCCUUAUGCUUAGGGCUACACACGUGCUACAAUGGGUGGUACAGAGGGCAGCCAAGUCGUGAGGCGGAGCUAAUCCCUUAAAGCCAUUCUCAGUUCGGAUUGUAGGCUGAAACCCGCCUACAUGAAGCUGGAGUUACUAGUAAUCGCAGAUCAGAAUGCUGCGGUGAAUGCGUUCCCGGGUCUUGUACACACCGCCCGUCACACCACGGGAGUUGGGGGCGCCCGAAGCCGGAUUGCUAACCUUUUGGAAGCGUCCGUCGAAGGUGAAAUCAAUAACUGGGGUGAAGUCGUAACAAGGUA